rnacentral:lncRNA from 1 species
AGAUUUGAUUAAUAACUGACAGCUUCCCUAGUUUUUGUCUCUGCUUCCAAUUUAGGACCAACCAGAGAAAGCCAAAUAUGCACCUUGCCCAAUCACAUAGGAUGCCGGGCUUCUCGUUAGCCCACCUACAACACUCCCAGGCCAAUAGCCCCCAAUCAGGAGUGAGAAAGCUUUAUUGUGGGGGAAAGGUAUGCCCUGAUUGGAGGCUGUUGGCCAGAGCUUACUGGGGCAGUAGGAAGGCCUGAAUCUGGGGUGAUGACAGAGGAAAUGGGAAGGAGAUCAGGAGGGGCCCGGGGCAGGCGAAGUGUCAGGUGACUGGAGGGAAGCCAGGAGGAGGGGCCCAUUAGCGAGCGGGAAUGAGUGCGGAUGUUCAUGUGUGUGUGUGCGCACAUGUGACUGGGUGGGAGUGUGUGAGGGAGCAGAUCUCCGUAUGGGACCCCAGAGGGGGCUGGACUCACGUUUGGGGUUGAGGAGGGAUGUCAAACCCUGACGGGCAUCGGUGUGGACACGCAUCUGCUAAGAGGUCAGAGCUGACUGUUUGAGUCAGGAGGAGAUGUUUACAAACGCGAGAAAAGAUCUCAGCGGACACGUCUCGGUGUCUGCCAAAACCGAAGGGUCGGAAGAGCCCCAGAAGGGUGAGGAGGAGCAGACAGGGCUUCCGGAAAAACCCGAAAAGCUGAGGGGCGGGGUCGGAAGGGGUAGUGCCCAGCACCGGGCAGGGUUGAAACUCUAAGAGCUGGCCCGACACGCCUCCUGCGCCCCUCCUCUUUAGGGCCCUGUUCCAAAGGUGGCUUCUCGUUGCAGCAUCACCCGGCAGCCAACUAAAGGGAUUCCAGGGACCAGCCACGUGGCGUCCAGGUUAGAGAGCUGGUGUGUACUUCUCCGCCCCAGGCCCCGUCCCCUCCCUCUUCUCAGGCGGCGAUUGGUCGAGACACCCCUUCCCGUUGCUAUGACAAUAUCUUCUGGCUGCCAUUGGCUCCACUCCGCGCCCUCUGCCCCGCCCCUUCCCGCUCCAGGCCACACCCACUCUUUUUUCCCCAGCGGCGAUUGGCCGAUCCGUCCCGUUGCCAUAACAGCAUCCCGUGGCUGCCAGACUCCUCUCCGCCCCUUCCCUCCCCUCAGCCGGCGCCGGGAGGGAGGCGGGCCUGGCCUCGUCUCCAUGGUGACGGCGGACGCGGCAGUACGGGUGGCUGGUACCUACCGACUGGAGAGGGGCCUGCGGCGGCGGGGAUCGAGACUGGGGCAAGGCCAUGUCAGACCUGGGCUCGGAGGAGUUGGAGGAGGAGGGAGAGAAUGAUAUUGGGGAAUAUGAAGGGAGUCGGAAUGAGGCAGGUGAGCGGCACGGCCAUGGGAAAGCGAGACUGCCCAACGGGGACACGUAUGAAGGGAACUAUGAGCACGGUAAAAGGCACGGCCAGGGGAUCUACAAAUUUAAAAAUGGUGCUCGCUACAUCGGAGAAUAUGCCAAAAAUAAAAAGCAUGGUCAUGGCACAUUUAUAUAUCCAGAUGGAUCAAGAUAUGAAGGGGAGUGGGCAGAUGACCAGAGGCACGGCCACGGCGUGUACUACUAAGUCAAUAACGACACCUACACUGGAGAGUGGUUCGCUCAUCAAAGGCACGGGCAAGGCACCUAUUUCUACGCGGAGACGGGCAGUAAGUAUGUCGGCACCUGGGUAAACGGACAGCAGGAGGGUGCGGCUGAGCUCGUUCACCUGAACCACAGGUACCAGGGCAAGUUCUUGAACAAAAAUGUAAGUCAAAGGGAAGCAACAUUUGCCAAUGAAAUACCCUCCUCCCCCAGCCUAUGUAACCGUGUGAGCCAAAAAACUAAGUAAAAACUUAGGGAAACUCUCCCACCACCUCCUCACUGCCCCAGGACCCCUGAAUAUGGGAAAUGAGGCAGCUGUGCCUCUCUGAGCCUCUCUGAUAGCCACAGAAGGCAUAGUGAGGAGGGGGGCUUGGCCUGUUUCUCUGCAUCUCAGUAAAAUCUCCCCUCUUCCAGCACUGAUGUGCCAUAUAUUAUAACACGCGGGGGAGGGGGUGCAUCUUGACCUCUUGUAUGUUCUCCCUCUCACGGUAAAUCUGAUAUGAAAUGUUUGUUUGCCUGGAAUGACUGAAUAUUUCCUGCAGUUGAGCAUGUGGGCGUUUGGGGUUUCUUUCUGCUGGAGCUGCAAGGCUGGAGCCCCUGGGGCGGGGAACGGCGGGUGGUGGUGGGUGCAUGGAGACCCACGAGCUGCUUCCUGGUGCUGCAGCCAGCCCACCAGCUCCAGGUUGUGGUGGGGUUGGAGGGCUGCGCAGAGCCCCAGGUCUUGGGUCUGCAGGUUUCCAGUUCUCGGUGCCGGCGAUAAGUCAUUUCUGUUUGGAGGACUCUGUGGCUUGGCUUGCCCUUUUUGUCCGAGCUCUAGAGGGAUGCAGACAAACCCUGGACAAUUCUGACCUGACCACCCUGACGUUUGUUUUAGCUUUGAUCAGGGGUUGAGCAGAAACUUCCCCCGAAGAAGGAGUUUGCUGAGCAAAUUAAAGGCGUUAGAAGUUGCCACAGGGAACAUUGAACUGAUUUAAUGAAAUCGUCUCAGACUCUCUUAAAGCUCGGUUUUCAUUUACAUAUAAUUCACACCCUAAUUACAGAGUCUACUUUUAGUCUUCAUUAAAACAGCACAUUCUCCUCAAGUCUAUACAUCGUGUAUUCAAUUCCCAUGGGGUAUUUUUUGAUCUCGGGAGGUGGGCGGAGGGAAAGAGAAUUUGACGAAAGUUAACUGGGAAGAAUCAGUGAAUGCAGAGAGCUAGACUAGUCUGAAAGAGAAGAGCGAAAGUGGAUGCUUCACUCUGCUGGCUAGUGAGAACCUUAAACUUAUACAAGUAAUCAUGAGUACAUUCUACCUGCGAACACUCAGACACGAGUCCUCUCGCCUGCCUCACGCUCCAGCCCUCCCCUCCCCUUGCUUCUUCUCCCUGCAGGAGUGCCCUUCCAUGCCACUGUCUGUGCAUCACAUGCACUUAUACAACAACACACACUUGUACAGCUUACAUAGAAUUAUAGGCUGAGGGUUUUAGUGUCAUAAAUGGGAUCACAUGACAUCAGAAUACACAAAUAUACACAAAGGAACAUUAUCUUUUUUCACACUUGAGAGUAUUUAUAUAGGUUAGAUACUGGAAUUGCUGAAUCCACAAGUAUUGAGAUAUAUAUAUAUAUAUAUAUGUAAAUUUUUUUUGUAAGGAAGAUUUGCCCUGAACUAACAUCUGUUGCCAAUCCUCCCCCACCUUUUUUUUGUGUGUGUGAGGAAGAUUAGCCCCGAGCUAACGUCUGUGCCAAUCUUCCUCUACUUUGUAUGUGGGUUGCUGCCACAACAUGGCUGAUGAGUGGUGUAGGUCUGCAACCGGGAUCCGAACCUGUGAACUCGGGCCGCCAAAGUGAAGCGUGAGGAACUUUAACCACUCAGCCACAGGGCUGGCCCCAGUAUUGCUAUUUUAAAUCAUGAUGGAUACUGCCAAUUGUCCUACAAAACUGUGCCUGUUCAUACUGUCACCCACAGAAUAUGAGAGUCUCUAUCCCAUUUUCUCAUCCAACACUGGAUAUUAUCAGUUUUCAAUAUUUUUUGCAAAUCUGAUGGGCAAAAAAUGUUCUCUCAUUGUUUUCAUGAGCAUCUCCCUGAUUCGUAGUGAGGUUCAGCAUCUUUGCACACUCUUGUUAUUGGUUUGACUUUCUUCCUCAGAGAAUUACUGUUCCCAUCCUUGCUGACAAGUUAUUGGAACAUGCUGUAAAGCUUAGAUCGUUACAGCAGUGUGAUAGCGGGAUGGAGAUAUACGGGUCAGCGAAGCAGGUUAGAAAGUCAGAGGCAGAUCCCAGGUGCAAAAUAAUUUAGCACUUGAAGGGAGGGGUCCUCUCAAAUCAGCGGAGAAUGAUGGGGAGAGGCCAAGAAACGGGGCUGGGCCAGCAUGGUAACCAUUUGGGAGGAAAAUAAAAUCAGAAUUUGUCCUCCA